GAUGAACGCUGGCGGCGUGCCUAAUACAUGCAAGUCGAGCGCGAGAUUGGGGAGCUUGCUCCCCAUGAUCGAGCGGCGGACGGGUGAGUAACACGUAGGCAACCUACCCAUCAGACUGGGAUAACCGCGGGAAACCGUGGCUAAUACCGGAUGACCCUUUAUGACACCGGUCGUAAAGUUGAAAGGCGCUUAUGGUGCCGCUGAUGGAUGGGCCUGCGGCGCAUUAGCUGGUUGGUGGGGUAACGGCCCACCAAGGCGACGAUGCGUAGCCGACCUGAGAGGGUGAUCGGCCACACUGGGACUGAGACACGGCCCAGACUCCUACGGGAGGCAGCAGUAGGGAAUCUUCCGCAAUGGACGCAAGUCUGACGGAGCAACGCCGCGUGAGUGAAGAAGGGUUUCGGCUCGUAAAACUCUGUUGUUAAGGAAGAAUGUCAUGUAUUUAACUGAUAUGUGAGUGACGGUACUUAACCAGAAAGCCACGGCUAACUACGUGCCAGCCGCCGCCGUAAUAC
rnacentral:rRNA from 1 species